GGGGAAUCCACUGUAAGCUCUCAGAUGAGACAAAGAACAAGAGCCUCAACGGGAACCCCAGUCUCCCCAGCAGCACCUGCGUUCCUUGCUGGUUUGAUUUCAUGCUGAAAAAGGUGACCAUCCAGCCUUCAGGCAUUAGUCAGUUCAUACUAAUUACAGCAGGAACCCAGGCAACUGAAAUCCAGAAAGAGGAAAGGACUCUUCCAAGGUCACUCCUGUUUUUGGAGCAGGCCCAACCCAUUUUGGCAUUUCUUGGGCCUGGGGCUAACCUUACAGGGCAUCCUACGUCAGGUGAGGAAGGGGAACCUGAUCCAGCCAGCAAAGGCCCGUGCAUGGCCAGGAUUGGCCAACUGCAAAGAAACAGCUCCUCCUCCUCAAAUAAUUAAGUAAUAACUUUCUAUCAGGAAAGAAAGAGUCACAUAUCGACCAUGUGGCAGCAGCUACCAGCAUUCCAAAUCAGAAUCCUCUCCCUUCACUACAACAGAGCUGGAGCCAGGCUGCCCUCAGGAAGCGAUGGCAGGAGGGGACUGAGAAUUAGCCCUGUCCUGGUGAGGAAGUGCAGGGCUGGUGCCUAGUACAGCACUUGGCCUCCACUGGGGCCCAGCCAGUGUUUGCUGGGUGAGGAAAACAUCAAUUCAUUCUAGUGUGAGAUUGGAGAGCCAAGCCCCCUUAAGGCCAGCCACAAAAGAUGCCUCUGUUCAGGUGUAACCAAGACAGUGAAUAAAUCACAGGAAAGUGGACAGUCUCAUGCCCACAUGCAUCGGUGGGAAACAAAACACUCAGGAUCCUGAUGAUAUGAGCCAGGGUGCAGGCCCAGGCUAGGGGAGCAGGGACAAACAGGAGGAGCUAGGGAGAGGAAAAGAGGAGAGAGAAAGGGAGGGGGUAGUGGAAAGGGGGCAAUGGGCAGAAGGAUGUCAAGAGAGAAGACCUUACCUCCAGCCCCAGAGGCAGCUGCCUGCCUUCUUUUUGAGUUGCUUUGCCGUGAUUAGCACUCAGGACACAGAGACGGAGUAUUCUCACUGCCUGGGAGCCUUGGACAUACACUUGAUAUAGUCCUCAAUGCAGAAAAUACUGCAACCUUGACAACAGCAGCAGCACAUUAGCUUGACAAAUGCAAUCCUGCCAGUAGCCAAGAUCUCUACAGUUCUUCCAGGCACUGGGAGUCCAGGACAGGAACUGGAUUUAACCUGCACAGUGUAGUUAUUUCACUGGGAACCCAGAUCAGGGCUGGGGCCCCAGCCAACACACUUGGAUAUUUGGCCUGCAGCGGGCUGGAUGGUGACGCACUAAAGCAUUCCUUUGCCUCUACACACUCCAGAUAAAUGAACCUCAGGGUUUCAUGAGUUCUCAAGAACCAGCAGAAACCAGGCUCUGUCUUCUUGCUAUGACCCGGGGUCCUUAUGUGCUGGGAACAAGAGGAAGUCAAUGGGUUUGGGCAGGGGCUGCCUGGGGAAGAUCUCAGCCACCCCGCAGGCUUAUAUAGAGUCCUACUUCCAAGCUACCCUUUGGGAGGAAGAGUACUUGAUAGAUAUUGCCUUUAACCCAAUGCAUGGGCCAGAGCAACUUGGGGCUCAGAAAAGUACUUAAGGUGGUCAACUUAUACGCAUCAUGCACAGAGCUUCCUUACGGAACACACACGAAGAGGCUUUCAGAUCAUCGCACUGACAAACUCAAGAUGCUGAAUCUGGGUUGUUUACCAAAACUGAGUACAAGUUAUAUCCUCAGGCUCGCUUCUCAACUUCCCUCCCUCAGGAGCAGCCACACCACAAGACACUGUG
ensembl:lncRNA novel transcript, antisense to MAPK4